CAGUAGCCGCGGGAAUACGUAGGGUGCAAGCGUUAAUCGGAAUUACUGGGCGUAAAGGGCGUGUAGGCGGCCUGGGGCGUCCCAUGUGAAAGGCCACGGCUCAACCGUGGAGGAGCGUGGGAUACGCUCAGGCUAGAGGGUGGGAGAGGGUGGUGGAAUUCCCGGAGUAGCGGUGAAAUGCGCAGAUACCGGGAGGAACGCCGAUGGCGAAGGCAGCCACCUGGUCCACUUCUGACGCUGAGGCGCGAAAGCGUGGGGAGCAAACCGGAUUAGAUACCCCCGUAGUCCCUGUCUCUUAUAC
rnacentral:rRNA from 1 species